rnacentral:sRNA from 1 species
AAAAAAAACAGAAAAAAUAACAAGAAA